AGCUUGCAAAAUCCUUACGCUACUACAUCCAAUUCAGCUGGUCAGUUUGAAGGUGGAAAUUUUAUGACACAGCAACCUUAUGGUGUGACACAGCAAGUUCAUGCUGCCCCUUCCCAUAUACCACAGCGAACUCAAUCUGGACCUGUUGCAGCGUACGGGAAUAAUAACAAUAUCGUUGGAGAUAUGCACCAACCUGGUUCUGCCCCGUCAUCAAGCUCGCAAACCCCUUACCCUACCACGCCCAAUGCACCAGCUGGUCAGUUUGAUGGUGGAAAUUUUAUGACACAGCAACCUUAUGGUGUGACACAGCAAGUUCAUGGUGUCCCUUCCCAUAUACCACAGCGAACUCAAUCUGGACCUGUUGCGGCGCACGGGAAUAGUAACAAUGUUGUUGGAGAUAUGUUUUCACCAUCUGGACUAAGUUCCUUGGAGACAUCAGCAUCUCAACCAUCUC
rnacentral:lncRNA from 1 species